rnacentral:rRNA from 1 species
AGGAUGAACGCUAGCGACAGGCCUAACACAUGCAAGUCGAGGGGCAGCACAAGGAGCAAUCUGAGGUGGCGACCGGCGCACGGGUGAGUAACACGUAUGCAACCUGCCUGUAAGCGGGGAAUAACCCGUUGAAAGACGGACUAAUACCGCAUAAUACUAAAUUACUGCAUGGUAAUUUAUUUAAACAUUUAUGGCUUACAGAUGGGCAUGCGCAUGAUUAGCUAGUUGGAGAGGUAACGGCUCCCCAAGGCAACGAUCAUUAGGGGUUCUGAGAGGAAGGUCCCCCCACACUGGUACUGAGACACGGACCAGACUCCUACGGGAGGCAGCAGUGAGGAAUAUUGGUCAAUGGACGAGAGUCUGAACCAGCCAAGUCGCGUGCAGGAAGAAUUGUCCUAUGGAUUGUAAACUGCUUUUGCAGGGGAAUAAAGUGCAUCACGUGUGAUGUUUUGUAUGUACUCUGCGAAUAAGGAUCGGCUAACUCCGUGCCAGCCGCCGC